rnacentral:lncRNA from 1 species
UCAAAACACGGGACUUAUUUAAAUAGACAGUAUCAAGUAGAUACGAGCACACGAUUCAUAUUACAGUUACAGAAUCACCGAGACAUAGGAAUAUACUUCAUUUAUUCACCACAAUCUCAUUCUCAGACUUUACAACCUUUUGCUCACAAUCAACUUUCAUUCAUAUCUUCCCAAUUAUACCAUAAUCUAGCAAGUACACAAAAGAAAGAAAGGGAGGUGGGAAGCGUGAGCUGUAAGAGGUCAGCCCCUCUCCACCCUUCCCUCUGGAGUCAAUCAGCCACCCCUAUGGCUGCCCCCAUCCCAUCUAACGCAUACAUCAGCCACCCUAUCUCUGCAUCCUUCUCCCUAGCACACUCAAGUGUGCAUACCACACCUAACAACUCCCUUUUGUUCCGGACUUCAGCAGCAAAUAACCUUCAUUUCAUUCCCAUUCCACACUUAGAAAGUUUCAGGACAGCAGUGACCUCCAUUCAUUCUCUGCCAGGAGGUAAAUCUCUUUAACUCUCUUCAACUCCUCCAAGAUUUCACCCGCAUUGAUGCAAAGAACAUUCACUUCAGUUUCAGUUUCAACCCAUUUAAUACCUCAAGAAAUCGAAGAAGCAAGAGGGAGCAUUCAUUCAUUGCUCUGCCAAACUUUAAGUUCAAUCAUUCCAGUUCGUUAAACUCAGCAACAAAUCACCAACCAACAUUUACAUCUUCAAGGUAUUUAUACUAUCUCAGUACACCCUCUCAACAUACACAUCUCGCAUCCAUAAGCAUGAUAGACAUAACAAAGAUACAGACUUAGCCCCAACAUUGUUGUUUCGAGAUUCAUUUUGCAUACUCAUCGACACUCCGUCACGGAAUAGAAAACAAAUGAGACUAGAGAACUUAGCUUUAAGGAAUAGGGCCGGCUGCCUGUUCGGUCAAGCCAAGACAACGACAACGACGGCGGCAGCUCUUGCUGCCUCGGAGGGAAUGGUGUAACAGCAACGGUGGCGUCGCGAAUGGAGCAACAACGCUGAAUCACCAGCCGUCCACAGACAGCAGAAGUGGCGGCAGAACCAUGGCGGCGGAGGUGGAAAGGAAUCAGGGCUCGACUCCCUGCCCACCUUGACGACUGAAUCGAGACCUGAACGGCUCGAAGGAGAAGGCGAGACGACGCCGGCUUCUCCGAUUGACGGCCAGAGAACCGCGACGGCAGCAGCGGCGAUAGUUGUAGACCGAGAUUAGGGCUUUUCAUUCUGUUUCUCCAGAGGCAGAUAGGAAGAGGUAGGCACCGAGCUAUAUAGAGAGGAAUCUGAGCAGCGACUCUGACGGAGAGUACGGCGGCGGAAUUUGGGCGAAGAAGAAAGUUAGGGCUCGACCAGGUCUUCGCUGGAAUGGUGGAAUGAGGAAGAAGCGAGACGAGAGGAGGCAAGGCGGUCAAUGGUUGGACGCCUGACCUAGGCUCGGCGGCAGCCGACGCCGGUCGGAGCAGAGGCGGCGGCUGAAACCUCGACUGAUUUUUGAGAGAGGCCGACUGUUCUUGAAAGGGGAAAAGGCCGACUGAUUUUUGAGAGAGGAGAGAAGGCUCGACUGAAAUUGAAAGAGAGAGAGAGAGUAAUUCAAUUGGGCCGACUGAUCUUGUGAAGAUUGGGCUUUCUCCUUAUUCUUAUUAGCUUGGGCUUCUUUCUUUUGUUUCUAAUUGGGCCGGUUGCUUUUAAUGUAUCCCUUUUAAUUAUUAAUGUGGGCUGAAACUUUAUAGACUUAUUUCAUUUGAGCCACAUUUUAUUUCAGUCGGGCCGAGUUCAUUUAAAUUUAAGCCCAGCAUAAAUCAUUCUAUUCUCGGGCUGAUUGUAAAUGAUGGAUUGGAAUUUUAUUUAGUUGAGCCUUGCAUACUUUAUCUAAUUUAGCUCAACUAUUCAUUAUUUAUUCAUUGGGCUAAGAUUUAUUUAAUUACUUGAGCCAAUGAAUUAUUUCAAUUGGGCCUCUCAUAUUAAUUAUUCAAGCCCACUUCUACUUAAUUAAUUAUUAGGCUGCCUUAUGUUGAGCCUUUUAAUUAUUUAAACUUAUAACAUUACUAUUGUUCCUACUUAUUAGCCCGAGUAAAUUUUACGGGGUUAUACAGCGAAUAAACCGAAUUAGUUAUUUACUACUACCAAUUUACCUCGAGUGAGAUUUAUUUAAUUGGCGGAUUAGGACACCCUGAAGAGAACGGAUUAUUAUAGUUAAUUGCUUGACCUCUUGAGGCGCAACCUAGAUGGUUCUUUCACUUGAUCCGAUAGCAAGGAUUGAUAGUAGAAUUUUUCGAUUAUUAUCUCAGAAUAAUAAUUCAUGCAUAAGAGGAUCAUGCAUCGUUAAUUUCGUAUUCUCAUUAUUUGAGGAUUUUGCUCGAGCAGUAUCUUAUUUAUAUUCUCAUAAUAAAGGUCAAGCGCGA